UACAUUUUAGUAUAUGAUGUACAAGAAUUUUUGAAAUUCUAGGGAAUAGUUUAAUUCUAUUAUGUGUAA
rnacentral:tRNA from 1 species